rnacentral:rRNA from 1 species
GACGAACCGUGCGAACGUUGUUCGGAAUCACUGGGCUUAAAGGGCGCGUAGGCGGUCUUGCAAGUCUGCGGUGAAAGCCUCCAGCUCAACUGGAGAAGUGCCGUGGAUACUGCGGGCCUCGAGGAGGGUAGGGGCAUCUGGAACGUUGGGUGGAGCGGUGAAAUGCGUUGAUAUCCAACGGAACUCCGGUGGCGAAGGCGAGGUGCUGGACCCUUUCUGACGCUGAGGCGCGAAAGCCAGGGGAGCGAACGGG